GACGAACGCUGGCGGCGUGCUUAACACAUGCAAGUCGAACGUGAUUUUUGUGGAAAUUCUUUCGGGAAUGGAAAUGAAAUGAAAGUGGCGAACGGGUGAGUAACACGUGAGCAACCUACCUUACACAGGGGGAUAGCCGUUGGAAACGACGAUUAAUACCGCAUGAGACCACAGAAUCGCAUGAUAUAGGGGUCAAAGAUUUAUCGGUGUAAGAAGGGCUCGCGUCUGAUUAGCUAGUUGGAAGGGUAAAGGCCUACCAAGGCGACGAUCAGUAGCCGGUCUGAGAGGAUGAACGGCCACAUUGGAACUGAGACACGGUCCAAACUCCUACGGGAGGCAGCAGUGGGGAAUAUUGCACAAUGGGGGGAACCCUGAUGCAGCGACGCCGCGUGAGCGAAGAAGGUUUUCGAAUCGUAAAGCUCUGUCCUAUGAGAAGAUAAUGACGGUACCAUAGGAGGAAGCCCCGGCUAAAUACGUG
rnacentral:rRNA from 1 species